rnacentral:rRNA from 1 species
AGAGUUUGAUCCUGGCUCAGGAUGAACGCUGGCGGCGUGCCUAAUACAUGCAAGUCGAGCGAACGGACGAGAAGCUUGCUUCUCUGAUGUUAGCGGCGGAUGGGUGAGUAACACGUGGAUAACCUACCUAUAAGACUGGGAUAACUUCGGGAAACCGGAGCUAAUACCGGAUAAUAUUUUGAACCGCAUGGUUCAAAAGUGAAAGACGGUCUUGCUGUCACUUAUAGAUGGAUCCGCGCUGCAUUAGCUAGUUGGUAAGGUAACGGCUUACCAAGGCAACGAUGCAUAGCCGACCUGAGAGGGUGAUCGGCCACACUGGAACUGAGACACGGUCCAGACUCCUACGGGAGGCAGCAGUAGGGAAUCUUCCGCAAUGGGCGAAAGCCUGACGGAGCAACGCCGCGUGAGUGAUGAAGGUCUUCGGAUCGUAAAACUCUGUUAUUAGGGAAGAACAUAUGUGUAAGUAACUGUGCACAUCUUGACGGUACCUAAUCAGAAAGCCACGGCUAACUACGUGCCAGCAGCCGCGGUAAUACGUAGGUGGCAAGCGUUAUCCGGAAUUAUUGGGCGUAAAGCGCGCGUAGGCGGUUUUUUAAGUCUGAUGUGAAAGCCCACGGCUCAACCGUGGAGGGUCAUUGGAAACUGGAAAACUUGAGUGCAGAAGAGGAAAGUGGAAUUCCAUGUGUAGCGGUGAAAUGCGCAGAGAUAUGGAGGAACACCAGUGGCGAAGGCGACUUUCUGGUCUGUAACUGACGCUGAUGUGCGAAAGCGUGGGGAUCAAACAGGAUUAGAUACCCUGGUAGUCCACGCCGUAAACGAUGAGUGCUAAGUGUUAGGGGGUUUCCGCCCCUUAGUGCUGCAGCUAACGCAUUAAGCACUCCGCCUGGGGAGUACGACCGCAAGGUUGAAACUCAAAGGAAUUGACGGGGACCCGCACAAGCGGUGGAGCAUGUGGUUUAAUUCGAAGCAACGCGAAGAACCUUACCAAAUCUUGACAUCCUUUGACAACUCUAGAGAUAGAGCCUUCCCCUUCGGGGGACAAAGUGACAGGUGGUGCAUGGUUGUCGUCAGCUCGUGUCGUGAGAUGUUGGGUUAAGUCCCGCAACGAGCGCAACCCUUAAGCUUAGUUGCCAUCAUUAAGUUGGGCACUCUAAGUUGACUGCCGGUGACAAACCGGAGGAAGGUGGGGAUGACGUCAAAUCAUCAUGCCCCUUAUGAUUUGGGCUACACACGUGCUACAAUGGACAAUACAAAGGGCAGCGAAACCGCGAGGUCAAGCAAAUCCCAUAAAGUUGUUCUCAGUUCGGAUUGUAGUCUGCAACUCGACUACAUGAAGCUGGAAUCGCUAGUAAUCGUAGAUCAGCAUGCUACGGUGAAUACGUUCCCGGGUCUUGUACACACCGCCCGUCACACCACGAGAGUUUGUAACACCCGAAGCCGGUGGAGUAACCUUUUAGGAGCUAGCCGUCGAAGGUGGGACAAAUGAUUGGGGUGAAGUCGUAACAAGGUAGCCGUAUCGGAAGGUGCGGCUGGAUCACCU